UCAUGACAUUAAUUGUUUAGCUUUUUAUUGUAUUUUAACAAGGUUAUAAGGAAUUGGCUCAAAUAACAAACAUUUUGAGCACAAGAGAGUAGUAUCAAGUGUAACCUGAUCUUAAAAAAUAUAACCUUCUAUAUAUACAUACAAAAAUUAAAUGUGUAUACUAAACCAAUCAUAUAUUCACAGGUAGGGAUACAUACAUGAAUGUCUAAAUAAAUUUGUCUUACUAACAUACACAUUAUUGAGCAUAUUAGCACAAACUAUGAAGUACAUACUAAAUGUAUUUAAUAACCGACAACCUACUUCAAUAUCUACACCAUUUUAUGUAAUUAAAAGGCCUUAUUGAAAACUUCACUCUUCUGUAAUACAUGAACUUCCACUACUAGAAAAAGUGUAAUCUAAUAUCACUAAAUCUAUAAAUAUAGUAUAAAGGUUGGAACGUAUUAGUAGUGUGGUGUAUUAGAUUACAUUGCCUAAUAGAAUACGGCUAUUUAACGGUACUCUAUAUGGAUCCUUUCAAGCAGACAACCAUCUAAUACACCAUACAAUUUCAACAUACAACCGUACUAGAUCACUCAUACAACCGGACUAGAUGUCAAGAUACUAAACCCAUAUUCCAUUCCAGCAGCCAUUCUUGAUUGCAUUCGGGCCCAUUCUUGAUUGCAUUCCCACACAAACCUAAUGUUCUUUGAUUAUAAAUAAAGGGGACAACAGUCAAAACUAAUAUCAACAGACACAUGGAUAUAUCUUCUAGAGGUAAAAUAAAUUGAAAUUCCAUCUUUAUUUUCCUUGUGAAUCUCUUCUCUAGAAUUGAGAACAUAUGGAGUCAAAACAUUUAACUUUAUAGAACCAACAAAAUCCAAUCUUAUGGACAAUGAUGAGUGAAAUAAGUGAAUAAUUGGAAAAUUACUAACCUAUAUGAGAGCAUGUUACCGACAGUUGGUGCAUUUUCCAUUCUCAUAUAUUAGGUGAUACACCUACCACCUUCAAAAUUCCUACGCAUAUUCCUUGACAGUGAAAAGAAAACCAAGCCUCACCACCUAGGGGCACAAAUGGAAAAUUAGCAUUUAGAAAAAUGAAUAACAAGAAGUAAAUCAUGAGUGCCAAAGUGCAUAAAAUACAUUUUCCUUGCAUUAUCUUAGAAAAGGAAACAAAAAGCAAUUUUACAACAAAAUAUUGAAUGUUGUGUGAUAAUCUCCAUGAUAUCUUUUAGGAUCUUCUUUUACAUCAGCAUAAGGCGUUCACAGAAAGCUAAAGCAACCAAUUUAAAUAUUGAAUAAGGCAUGUCAAAUGUCCUUUUCUAAGGAUCCAACAUCAGAUAAUGAUGAUGUUGUAUUUCUAUUUCAAAACUUAAUAAACUAAAGAUAUAUGCAUACUAACCUAACCUAAGUGGUUGAAGGCCCCAUAAAUUACACCAAUAAUAGUAGCAUAUCUAACAUACCAAAUUUCUGUGUCCAUGAAAUAGGCCUAAAGUGAAAUUACAUUACUUAUGUUUAAUUGGCCUCAUACAGGCAAAAUAAAAAGUAAAUAUUUUCAAGAACACUCAACAUGGCAAUUGAUUCCCAGAUAGUAAUAACAACGCCAAUAUUGUAGGUCACUAUAAAAUGAUCAAAUAAAUAAGUAAUUAGAUCUUAAUCUAAUAAGAAUCACAAUUAAACAAAGUUUGUAUAUAAGUUUUUAGAUAUUACUGUCAGGAAAGAACUCAUGCAACUCUUAGCUGCUAACAUGCAUUUUCACAUUAUCAAAUAAUAAAUAAACAUUAUAUCCUUACUUGAAAAGAAAACAGAUGUCCUCAUGCAUGCCUCUUCUAGCACAGUGUUUUGAAUGUAAAAAUUCACAAAAUUCAAAAUGAAACAAGAAGCAUGUAACAUCAAUACAAUCUACCAACACUUAAUUGAACUAACCUGUGCCUACCACAUUAUAAGAGUGAUUAUAUACCGAUCGGAAUGCUCCAUAUGUUUGAACAAAUGUAAUAAAAGUGUGUUUAGAAGCCUUUUCCCUAUUUAAUUAUUGAACAUGGUAGUAUGUCCAUAAUAAUCAUAGCACUUAGAAUGUUUUGAAGUACAAAACCCUAAUUUCAUUGAAGGUAAAACAAAAGCUUUGCUGAAACUUGAUUACUUCACCAAAAUUAUGAUCUUGGGGAAGAACAAAACCCUAAUUUCAUUGAAGGUAAAACAAAAGCAUUAAACCCUAACAUAUGUCAUCUAUGAAAUACAUUAUAGAUUAAAUCGUACUUGGUAUCGGCUUUCUUCGUAGCACUGCUAGGUUUGACUCCGUUCAUCGUUUGAUCCUAAAUGAAACAACCAAAAAACAAAAUAGGUUAAAAAUCAAGAAAAAAUGGUUGUAAGUGACAAAUAUUAGAAUCGACAUUGAGGAAAAAGAUGGAUAAUGAAAUAAAAGCAAAGACGGAGUGACAAUAAAAUGACAACCCUAUCUUUGAUCCGAUCUACCAUACAUCUGAUUUGAAUGUGUCACAUAAGAUCCUUUUCUAGCUACAUAUUCGAUUAUAUUCCAAUAAUUUAUCAUACAUCCUGACUUCCUGGCCUGAAAUUCAAAAAAUGUAAGCCGUUCUAUUAGGGAGAAAGUGUUGGUGGUUUCUGUUUGGUCAAAAAGAGGGAGAAGGUGGUGCUCCGGUGGUCGUUGGGACAAGGGGAGAUGGUGGUGAAGUGAUCAUCGAUAGGAGAAGACAUGUUGGUGCGACGGUCAUCUGGAGUAGUAAAGGAGUGGUAGCUUGGAGAAUGUUGUCAUGAGAUGAAAAGACGAGGACUCUAUUCCUUUCGCCCAUUUGAUUACACCAAAAGAGGGAUGAUACGAAAAAUAAAGUAUUC
rnacentral:lncRNA from 1 species